UAAGUCUUAGUUUUAAAAUAAUAUUCGACUGUUAAUCGAAAGGGGCGGCCUUUCGCAGACUUAG
rnacentral:tRNA from 1 species